CCUACGGGAGGCAGCAGUAGGGAAUCUUCCGCAAUGGACGAAAGUCUGACGGAGCAACGCCGCGUGAGUGAUGAAGGCCUUCGGGUCGUAAAACUCUGUUGUUAGGGAAGAACAAGUACCGGAGUAACUGCCGGUACCUUGACGGUACCUAACCAGAAAGCCACGGCUAACUACGUGCCAGCAGCCGCGGUAAU
rnacentral:rRNA from 1 species